rnacentral:rRNA from 1 species
UAGCCUACGGGACGCAGCAGUGAGGAAUAUUGGUCAAUGGGCGGGAGCCUGAACCAGCCAAGUCGCGUGAAGGAAGAAGGUACUUAGUAUUGUAAACUUCUUUUGUCGGGGAACAAAGGCGGAGACGCGUCUCCGGAUGAGUGUACCCGAAGAAAAAGCAUCGGCUAACUCCGUGCCAGCAGCCGCGGUAAUACGGAGGAUGCGAGCGUUAUCCGGAUUUAUUGGGUUUAAAGGGUGCGCAGGCGGGAGAUCAAGUCAGCGGUAAAAUGUCGGGGUUCAACCCCGUCGAGCCGUUGAAACUGGCG